AUCUACCGGUCGAGCAAGUCUCGUAAAUUUCACGAUUGCGAGCCACGCUUCACGCAACCGUGUUUGCGUACUUGUGUUUCGAGUUGCGUGGUCGUGCGGGGUUACAAAUUUAAAUCCGUUCCAACAUGCUGUCAAAAUUAAAUCAAUAUGUCAAUAUGGCUUGAUAUGGCUACUGGGUGUAAAAGAUAAAUCUUAUUCUAUCUGUUCUUAAUGAGUUUUAGAUAAUUUUAGUUGUAUUUCUUUGUAAUUUUGUGUUGUACAAAGAUUAAUUUAACAUUUUCUCUGGAAGUAUUAAUUUAGAAAGAUAAUAUGCUUCAUUGGUGUUGUGUUUUGAAGUGUGAAAUGCAAAGUAAUUGUGAUAAAGUCAAGAUAAAGUUCACUUUUAAACUGAACUAAAUAAGGUAUCUGAGAGACAACAAUGGUUAAAUGCAAUACAAUGUACAGGUUUUACUAGCGAAAUGAAAAUUUUACUGUCCUGUCUGCUGUAAUCAUUUUAUAUCUGGAAAACCAGCCGACUUAAUCGAUAAUAACAAUCUCCAGAUUGGGUUCCUUCAAUAAAUAUGGGCUAUAAACACAAUGAAAUAAGUUCCCCAAAAUCUAAAAUGGAGUGGUAUCAAAGGAGAAUUAAAGAAAAACAUAUUCAUAUUGAAAUUAUUUAUAAGGCACUGGACUGUCUUAAAUUCUACAAUAAUACAAGAAUCAGCUAAGAGAAGUGGUCUACAAAAAACCAGGAAGGAAACGGAAUAUGUGGCUACGAAAGGCAAAAGAAAGGUUUACAAAGCAAAUGUGACACAUUUUUUUGAAAUAUUUAGGAAUAUCAGUAAAUUGCAUUAAAAAAAUGUAUGAAAAGAUUUUGUUCAAUAAAAAUGUUUAUAUUUA